CUCUUAUCGAGAGCGGCGGAGGGACUAGGCCCUGUGAUGCCCGGCAACCAUCAAACACAUAAGUUUGAUAAGGUGCUAAUUCCUACAGAUCCAUGAGAUCUGAAAGAUAAGGG
rnacentral:ncRNA from 2 species